CCUACGGGUGGCAGCAGUGGGGAAUAUUGCACAAUGGGGGGAACCCUGAUGCAGCGACGCCGCGUGAGUGAAGAAGUUUUUCGGUAUGUAAAGCUCUAUUAGCAGGGAAGAAGAUGACGGUACCUGACUACGAAGCCCCGGCUAACUACGUGCCAGCAGCCGCGGUAAUACGUAGGGGGCAAGCGUUAUCCGGAGUUACUGGGUGUAAAGGGAGCGUAGACGGCAGGGCAAGUCUGGAGUGAAAGCCCGGGGCCCAACCCCGGGCCUGCUGUGGAAACUGCCAGGCUAGAGUGCGGGAGAGGUAAGCGGAAUUCCUAGUGUAGCGGUGAAAUGCGUAGAUAUUAGGAGGAACACCAGUGGCGAAGGCGGCUUGCUGGACAGUAACUGACGUUGAGGCUCGAAAGCGUGGGGAGCAAACAGGAUUAGAUACCCGAGUAGUC
rnacentral:rRNA from 1 species